rnacentral:rRNA from 1 species
UUGAUCAUGGCUCAGGACGAACGCUGGCGGCGUGUUUAACACAUGCAAGUCGAACGGUAAGGCCUUUCGGGGUACACGAGUGGCGAACGGGUGAGUAACACGUGGGUGACCCGUUUCCGAGCUCUGGGAUAAGCCUGGGAAACUGGGUCUAAUACCGGAUAUGACCUCUUGUUGCAUGGCGGGGGGUGGAAAGUUUUUCGGCUCGAGAUGGGCCCGCGGCCUAUCAGCUUGUUGGUGGGGUGAUGGCCUACCAAGGCGACGACGGGUAGCCGGCCUGAGAGGGCGACCGGCCACACUGGGACUGAGAUACGGCCCAGACUCCUACGGGAGGCAGCAGUGGGGAAUAUUGCGCAAUGGGCGGAAGCCUGACGCAGCGACGCCGCGUGGGGGAUGACGGCCUUCGGGUUGUAAACCUCUUUCGACCGGGACGAAGGGUGACUGACGGUACCGGUAUAAGAAGCACCGGCCAACUACGUGCCAGCAGCUGCGGUAAUACGUAGGGUGCGAGCGUUGUCCGGAAUUAUUGGGCGUAAAGAGCUCGUAGGCGGUGUGUCGCGUCGAUCGUGAAAACCUGUGGCUUAACUGUGGGCGUGCGGUCGAUACGGGCAUCACUGGAGUUCGGCAGGGGAGACUGGAAUUCCUGGUGUAGCGGUGAAAUGCGCAGAUAUCAGAGGAACACCGGUGGCGAAAGCGGGUCUCUGGGCCGAUACUGACGCUGAGGAGCGAAAGCGUGGGGAGCGAACAGGAUUAGAUACCCUGGUAGUCCACGCCGUAAACGUUGGGCGCUAGGUGUGGGGGAUCAUUCCACGGUCUCUGUGCCGCAGCUAACGCAUUAAGCGCCCCGCCUGGGGAGUACGGCCGCAAGGCUAAAACUCAAAGGAAUUGACGGGGGCCCGCACAAGCGGCGGAGCAUGUGGAUUAAUUCGACGCAACGCGAAGAGCCUUACCUG